GCAGUGGGGAAUAUUGCACAAUGGGGGAAACCCUGAUGCAGCGACGCCGCGUGAGCGAAGAAGUAUUUCGGUAUGUAAAGCUCUAUCAGCAGGGAAGAAGAAUGACGGUACCUGACUAAGAAGCUCCGGCUAAAUACGUGCCAGCAGCCGCGGUAAUACGUAUGGAGCAAGCGUUAUCCGGAUUUACUGGGUGUAAAGGGAGCGUAGGCGGUGCUAUAAGUCUGAUGUGAAAGCCCGGGGCUCAACCGCGGGACUGCAUUGGAAACUGUAGGACUGGAGUGUCGGAGGGGUAAGUGGAAUUCCUAGUGUAGCGGUGAAAUGCGUAGAUAUUAGGAGGAACACCAGUGGCGAAGGCGGCUUACUGGACAGUAACUGACGUUGAGGCUC
rnacentral:rRNA from 1 species